GAGGAAUAUUGGGCAAUGGACGAAAGUCUGACCCAGCAACGCCGCGUGGAGGAUGAAGGCCGUAAGGUUGUAAACUCCUUUUGGGAGAGAUGAAUAACUGUGGUUAACAAUGACCACAGCCUGACCGUAUCUCCUGAAUAAGCCCCGGCUAACUACGUGCCAGCAGCCGCGGUAAUACGUAGGGGGCAAGCGUUGUCCGGAUUUACUGGGUGUAAAGGGCGCGUAGGCGGGUUGGUAAGUCAGUGGUGAAAUCUCACAGCUUAACUGUGAAACUGCCUCUGAUACUGCCAAUCUUGAGUUCAGAAGAGAGAGAUGGAAUUCCAGGUGUAGUGGUGAAAUACGUAGAUAUCUGGAAGAACACCAGUGGCGAAGGCGAUCUCUUGGUCUGUAACUGACGCUGAGGCGCGAAAGCGUGGGGAGCGAAC
rnacentral:rRNA from 1 species